AUUGAACGCUGGCGGCAUGCCUUACACAUGCAAGUCGAACGGCAGCACGGACUUCGGUCUGGUGGCGAGUGGCGAACGGGUGAGUAAUGUAUCGGAACGUACCAUUGAGUGGGGGAUAACGUAGCGAAAGUUACGCUAAUACCGCAUAUUCUCUCCAGAGGAAAGCAGGGGACCGCAAGGCCUUGCGCUCUUUGAGCGGCCGAUAUCAGAUUAGCUAGUUGGUGGGGUAAAAGCUCACCAAGGCGACGAUCUGUAGCGGGUCUGAGAGGAUGAUCCGCCACACUGGAACUGAGACACGGUCCAGACUCCUACGGGAGGCAGCAGUGGGGAAUUUUGGACAAUGGGGGCAACCCUGAUCCAGCCAUGCCGCGUGAGUGAAGAAGGCCUUCGGGUUGUAAAGCUCUUUCGGCCGGGAAAAAAUCGCAUGGAUUAAUACUCUGUGUGGAUGAUGGUACCGGAAUAAGAAGCACCGGCUAACUACGUGCCAGCCGCCGCAGUAACAC
rnacentral:rRNA from 1 species